GUUCACAGACAAUCCUCAUUGUCAGAAUCCCCCAAAUACUCCAGAGUGGGCAGAACUGGAGAAGUCGUACAUGAGUCUACAUUUGUUUUAGACACAACCACUCGUGCCAGUUCUUCUUGUUUUUCUAUACUCCUUCAAACUGAAUAACUGAUCUACUUGUUUUGAGCCUGCAAUAGAGGGGCACAACACGUGGCUUGGGAAAAAAAACUCAUGUUCCACCCAGAUAGUUUUUCACAACAUUUCCUCUUUGCACCGGUGUCCCGCCUCUAGACCAACUUAGUUGUGAGAAAGUCUGUAUCUUUAGAGGAGGUAGCCAUAUGACUGUAUCAUUUAUUGAUAUUCUCCUAAUUAGUGAUUAACUGACGGUUCUUAGCAGGAUUGGGCUAAAUGCUGAAAUAAAAACCUGAGGUGAAGAACUAUCUUUCCCUGCAGUAGAAGUCCAUGUGAGAGGAGAGAGCUGUAUGAUACUAGAAGGACAAGACACCAAUAAGGGGCUCACAGCAGGUGGGCUUUUCUCCUAUCCAGAGCACCAACUGAAACAGACAGAAUGAACAGAGCACGAGGACUGUGUUUCACUUUACUACUACUGGGGUAACUUUCAGCUCAACUUUCAAUCCAGAUUGCAUUGCAGUCACUAUGUGGACUUUUGCAGUGUUCUGGUGAUAAUUAUGGUCAUGUUUUUCCUUAGGUGUGUACAUGGGAGCAAGUCUCCUCAAAGAGAAGUGGUAUUCAGUAGAGGGAUCCAACUCUUUGUUGAAGGUUUGAACCCUUCUAAUCCCUCUGUAGUAAUCCUCUCCUCAUUUGGGCACAACCCUGGUGCUUCAGCUACACUGGUGUGUAUACUCAGUGGUUUAAAAACACACCAUUUGUUGGACAUCAUUUGGUGGAUCAACAACACAGUGGUAACCCCUGAGAACAAUGCCAUUUGGAGUUCCAGGGGAAGUGAUGGCACGUACACAACUACCGGACUGUGGACUAUGUCUGGAAAGGACUGGAAUCCCUAUAGUAACUAUGAGUGUGGAACCAGACAUGAAGGAAAGCAUUAUAGAAAUGGUACACAGCCCUCACUUUGCAUGGAUUUUACUUGAUUACAAAUAUUUGUUAACCUAUCAAAAAUUAUCCUUAGCAUUUCAUGUACAAUCUUUACUAUUAUUAAAGUAUUCAUGAUGUUUCUUGAGUAUUUUAUUGAAAGAUCAGGUAGCCUAGUGGUUAGAGCUUUGGAAUAGUAACUGAAAGGUUGCAAGUUCAAAUCCCUGAGUUGACAAGGUACAAAUCUGUUGUUCUUCCCCUUAAGACCCACUGUUCCUAGGUUGUCACUGAAAAUAAGAAUUUGUUCUUAUUAUCUGAUUUGCCUAGUUAAAGAAAAAAAUACAAAUAAAUAAAUACAGAUUAUCAUUCUAGUUGCCAUUACCAUAUGUUGACACUAGAUGGUGCUCACUGCCUGCAGUUGUAGUGUUUGUGUUGAGUGAUGGUAAAUUCAUAUGCAUGGCAUCUCUGUUUCACAAACUCACUGAUUUCAACUGAGACAAUGCUGCUCUUGUUCCUGGAUGUAUCUCUCAACAACAAGCUGUUAUACAAAUGGUCAUAUGCACAAAGCUGAAUACUCUUUAGUUUAUGUUCCAAACAACAAUUGUGUUUCUGUCAGCCCUUUAAAAAUAUUUUUGCAUAAUUUAUAAGUUCAUAAUAUCAUCAAUAAAAUAUACAAAUAAUGAACUAAUCUGCAUUGCACUUUCACAUACAAACUCACAACCACUUCUUUAUUUUGUCCUGGUCAUGCAUGCGUAUGCUUAUGUUCUUGGGGCCACUGGUUGCUGUCUGAUUCCUGUGAAGAAUUAACCAUAACAACCCAAUUGCCAUUAUCAGCCAAUGAAAUUGCUUUUGGAGCUCAGCUAACUGCUUGCUGUGUGAGUCAAUUCAGCAGAUUUGGGACACUUGUUGAAGAAACCUUGGAGAUAUGAGGAAUUUCUGAAUGGGAGAUGGGAUGGGAAAACGUUUACGUUGUGAGUGUGUGUCUGUGAGCUGUUUCCAAUUUGAAAGGCAACGUAUUUUGUCAGUACACCCAGAAAAAAAGUUAUAUCUAGAACCUCGGGUUCUUCGGCUGUCCCCAUAGGAUAACCCUUUGAAGAACCCUUUUUGGUUCCAGGUAGAAGAACCCUUUUGGGUUCCAUAAAGAACAAUUUUUACAGAGGGUUCUACAUGGAACCCAAAAUGGUUCUACCUGGAUCCAAAAAAGGUUAAUCUAUAGGGACAAUGAAGAACCCUUUUGGAACCCUUUUUUCUAAGAGUGUAUGUACCCCGUCUGAUUCAUCUCACUGCCAAGUGUAACCUGCUGUCUUCACAAUAACUUGAACGUGACCACUGCUUGGGGUACUAUCAUGGAAAAUGAACUCCAUACUCACUGGGCACAGAUGUCAACUCAACGUCUAUUCCAUGUUGGUUCAACCUUAUUUAAUUGAAAUUACGUGGCGACAACAUUAAUGCAACCAGUGUGUGCCCAGUGGGUAUCUGACUCCAAGUUAGUAAAUUCUAAUUGCAAAUCUAUGACACGCAUUUCAAGAUAUAGCAUGACGAGCAUGGAGAGACAAGUCAUUGAGUGAUCGACAGUACCAGUCAAAAGUUUGGACACACCUACUCAUUCAAGGGUUUUUCUUAAUGUUUUACUAGUUU
rnacentral:lncRNA from 1 species